AACGAACGCUGGCGGCAUGCCUAACACAUGCAAGUCGAACGAGACCUUCGGGUCUAGUGGCGCACGGGUGCGUAACGCGUGGGAAUCUGCCCUUCGGUUGGGAAUAACUGAGAGAAAUUUCAGCUAAUACCUUAUAAUGUCUUCGGACCAAAGAUUUAUCGCCGAGGGAUGAGCCCGCGUAGGAUUAGGUAGUUGGUUGGGUAAUGGCCUACCAAGCCGACGAUCCUUAGCUGGUCUGAGAGGAUGAUCAGCCACACUGGGACUGAGACACGGCCCAGACUCCUACGGGAGGCAGCAGUGGGGAAUAUUGGAAAAUGGGCGAAAGCCUGAUCCAGCAAUGCCGCGUGAGUGAUGAAGGCCUUAGGGUUGUAAAGCUCUUUUACCCGGGAUGAUAAUGACAGUACCGGGAGAAUAAGCGCCGGCUAACUCCGUG
rnacentral:rRNA from 1 species